AACCAGCAGAGUGCGUGUAGUGCAAGUGUAGGGUGUGGUGGAAAAAAAUUCUAAGGUUCGACAGAAACCGAACCCCGUCAAAAAGCCCAAUAUUCGGCUGAAUCCAAACCCGAAUCCUAGAUUCAGUGCAUACCUGCUAUAUUAUUA